rnacentral:tRNA from 27 species
UCCUCAGUAGCUCAGUGGUAGAGCGAUCGACUGUUAAUCGAUUGGUCGCAAGUUCGAAUCUUGCCUGGGGAG